AUUGAACGCUGGCGGCAGGCCUAACACAUGCAAGUCGAGCGGACGGACGGUGCUCGCUCGUGCUUACGGCUGGCGACGGGCGGGUGAGUAAUAUGUAUAUCCCUGGCUUUUGGGUCUGAGGUCAUGACGUGGGAGCGAAUACGCCAUCAGAGCAUACGUUGAACGGGGGGGAUCAGCGGACCUUACGGGCUUUGGUGAGUCUAUGAGCGGGUUGCUAGUUGGUGAGGUAACGGGGUACCAAGGCGACGAUCCGUAGCUGGGCUGAGAGGCUGAUCAGCCACACUGGAACUGAGACACGGUCCAGACUCCUACGGGAGGCAGCAGUAGGGAAUAUUGGACAAUGGGCGAAAGCCUGAUGCAGCCAUGCCGCGUGUGUGAAGAAGGUCUUCGGAUUGUAAAGCUCUUUUAUUGGGGAAGAACAGCAGUAGGUUAAUACCUGGCUGUUUUGACGGUACCAAAAGAAUAAGCACCGGCUAACUUCGUG
rnacentral:rRNA from 1 species